rnacentral:rRNA from 1 species
UACAGAGGGGGCAAGCGUUGUUCGGAAUUACUGGGCGUAAAGGGCGCGUAGGCGGCCUGCUAAGUCGAACGUGAAAUCCCCGGGCUCAACCCGGGAACUGCGUCCGAUACUGGCGGGCUUGAAUCCGGGAGAGGGAUGUGGAAUUCCAGGUGUAGCGGUGAAAUGCGUAGAUAUCUGGAGGAACACCGGUGGCGAAGGCGGCAUCCUGGACCGGUAUUGACGCUGAGGCGCGAAAGCUAGGGGAGCAAACGGG